GCCUCGUUAGCGCAGUAGGCAGCGCGUCAGUCUCAUAAUCUGAAGGUUGCGAGUUCGAUCCUCACACGAGGCA
rnacentral:tRNA from 1 species